AUGGAACUUAAAGGAAGAAAGCUUUUAAAAAUUUUCUUCUAACAUUUACUGUACAGUCACACCAAAUGUGAAGAUUUUAAGUUCUAGGAAGUUUUGUUGCUCCCUGCCUUCUCCUAGUUUACUGCACAGUGCAUUAUUUACAUAAAACAGAAUUUCUUCUGUGGGAAAGGCUUGCAUGGUACUUCAAAGCCUGAAUAAAUCAGGGACUUCAGUUUGAAUCUACAGAAAAAUCAUCAAAAAAAUUCCUUUCAAUAUCUGCAUUGUAUUACCUUAUCAAGCUCCCUGUCUAGCUGAGUUAUUCAGGUAUCCACACCAGUGCAGUCCUUGCUAUGGGCAGAUGUUUCUUCUGUUCUUCUUACAGCAGUAGGAGUGGUUGGACACUGAACCUCAAAGAAGAGGGAGCUAACAUCCCUUACCUGGAUAAGUGCCACAGUAACAUCACAUCAUCAUAGAGAGACAUUGUCUGUCAUUUCUGGUGUGGAUACCUGAAUAACUCAGCUAGACAGGGAGCUUGAUAAGAAAAAUGAAUAUGUAGACAUCUGCCUGGACUAAUUAAGUAAUCACUGCUCUUUGUGAUCUUCAAUGCCGUUCUUCACUCAAAAACCUCAAAGCGCAAAGAAUUUUUCUGAGGCAGUCCCUGUAGAUGGAAGCAUCUUUGAGACUAAUUCCAUCAUAUCUUGGGGAUUAGAAGAAAUGGGGAAAAUCUGUGAGAAAUGAGGAGAGCAAAUUAUUGUCUUUCAAUGCAGGAAGUACCAACUCAGAUCUUGCCAUACAUUAUGAAUAAUCUCAUUUUUGCUGGAAUCCUGUACUAUAUUAAAGACAUUAUGGCUGGUAAAAUUACCUAGGGGAGCACUGCUUUCUU
rnacentral:lncRNA from 1 species